rnacentral:rRNA from 1 species
GACGUGCAUUUGAUACUGGUAUUCUUGAGUAUGGGAGAGGAAGGUGGAAUUCCUGGUGUAGAGGUGAAAUUCGUAGAUAUCAGGAGGAACAUCCGUGGCGAAGGCGGCUUUCUGGACCAAUACUGACGCUGAGGUGCGAAAGCGUGGGGAGCGAACAGGAUUAGAUACCCUGGUAGUCCACGCCGUAAACGAUGAGAACUAGGUGUAGCGGGUAUUGACCCCUGCUGUGCCGGAGCUAACGCAUUAAGUUCUCCGCCUGGGGAGUACGGCCGCAAGGCUAAAACUCAAAGGAAUUGACGGGGACCCGCACAAGCGGUGGAGCAUGUGGUUUAAUUCGACGCAACGCGAAGAACCUUACCUGGACUUGACAUCCUCUGACAACCCUGGAGACAGGGCCUUCUUAGUUUACUAAGACAGAGUGACAGGUGCUGCAUGGCUGUCGUCAGCUCGUGUCGUGAGAUGUUGGGUUAAGUCCCGCAACGAGCGCAACCCCUGUUUUUAGUUGCCAUUAUUAAGUUAGGCACUCUAGAAAUACCGCCUCGGUUAACGGGGAGGAAGGUGGGGAUGACGUCAAGUCCUCAUGGCCUUUAUGUCCAGGGCUACACACGUGCUACAAUGGUUGGUACAAUGGGUCGCUACUCCGCGAGGAGAUGCUAAUCUCAAAAAGCCAAUCUCAGUUCGGAUUGGAGUCUGCAACUCGACUCCAUGAAGUUGGAAUCGCUAGUAAUCGUGGAUCAGCAUGCCACGGUGAAUACGUUCCCGGGUCUUGUACACACCGCCCGUCACACCACGAAAGUCGGCUGUACCAGAAGUUGCUGGGCUAACCCUUCGGGGAAGCAGGUACCUACGGUGCGGUCGGUAAUUGGGGUGAAGUCGUAACAAGGUAACC